UGUCCCUAAAUUGGGUCUCUCUCUGGAUUGGUCGAAGAGAGCGCUCCGGUUUUAAAUGCCGGUACGGGAUUGUCUGAAGGGAGGUGUAAGAAAAAGAAACGUCGAAAACGGUUUUGUACAGGAUGAGGGGUUUUGCUCAGUGCUGUACCCUUUCGAAGCGACCGGUUGACUGGGUAAGCUGUGACUUUCAUCAGAACAGGUCCAAUAUUAUACAGAGAAUGUCCCAAACAUCUUUGCUCCGGCUUCUUGCCUUUUUCACGUGGCCCGAGGCCGAGUGCCUGAGUGAUUCACUCUUCGUGCUGU